ensembl:lncRNA
CUGACAGCGUCUGGUAAUUUCUGAGAGAUUUACCUCAGAUGAAGCAUCUCGCUUAGUCAGGCUGUUGUCCCCACUUGCUUCAAAACUACCACCAUCAUUCCAGUCCCGAAGAAGCCGUCUCCAUCCUGCUCCAGUGACUACCGUCCAGUUGCACUUACUCCUAUUUUCAUGAAGUGCUUUGAACAGCUACUCAUGCACCACAUUUAGUCUGCCCUCCCUCCCUUCCUGGACCCCGGACCCCUUCCAGUUUGCAUAUCGGUCCAACCACUUGACCGAUGAUGCCAUCGGCACUACCCUCCACUCAGCACUCACACAUCUGGACAAAAAAGACUCAUACGUCAGAAUGCUGUUCAUAGAUUUAAUUUCAGCAUUCAACACAAUCAUCCCUCAACAUCUCAUUCACAAACUGGUCGAGCUGGGGCUCAACACUUCGCUGUGCAACUGGCUGUUGGACUUUCUGACUGGUAGACCUCAGGCAGUACGUGUCGGCAGCAACACAUCCAGCACCAUCACACUGAACACUGGGUCCCCCCAAGGAUGUGUGCUGAGCCCCCUCCUCUUCACUCUGCUGACCCACGACUGCACACCGUCACACAACUCCAAUCUCUUUAUUAAGUUUGCGGAUGACACGACUGUGGUGGGUCUCAUUAGCAACAGAGACGAGACAAACUACAGGAGCGAGGUGAGCCGCCUGGCCGGGUGGUGCAGUGACAACAAUCUCUCUCUGAACGUGGAGAAGAUGAAGGAGAUUGUUGUUGACUUCAUAAGAGCGCACACUCAGCAUGCUCCUCUGACCAUCAACGGUGCGACUGUGGAGAGAGUGAGCAGCACCAAGUUCCUGGGUGUGCACAUCACAGAGGACCUCUCCUGGACCGACAACACCGCAGCACUGGCCAAGAAAUCACAGCAGCGUCUCUACUUCCUCCGCAAACUGAGGAGAGCCAGAGCCCCACCCCCCAUCAUGUACACCUUCUACAGAGGCACCAUUGAGAGCAUUCUGACUAGAUGCAUCACUGUGUGGUAUGGCGCCUACAACGCAUCCUGCCAGAAGACUCUUCAUCGCAUAAUGAGAGCAGCUGAGAAGAUCACUGGUUUAAUUUUUUUUUUCAUGUAGAUGACCACUUUGCAUGUAUAUAAAAAUUGUGCACUUACAUGGACAGAGCAUGCAUGUAGCAGAGUAAUCAGAAAUAUGUUAUUUACAUAAAUAUACAACAAAACAUCUUGUGCAUAACCAAUUAGAUAAUCAUCUGAUCAACUGAAAUCUAAGCAGACUCAUAUACAAUAGAUCUACCGUUCAUUUAAUUUUUCUUCAGAAUACAUUUUGAAUUUCCUUCACAAUGUCUUCACAAUUAUUUUACUUUACUUACUUUAAUUGUUAAUUAUUAUGCUUCCACACAAACACAGUGCAGGACAUAUAUUAGGAUCCUCUUUCCGUGGUAUGUAUGUAGUGUAUACAUACAGUAUAAGAAGAAAGGUCAGUCUGGACUGCUGAGAGGAUUACUGGUGCUCCCCUGCCAACCCUUCAAGAACAUACUGUACAUGCAGGAUUAGAAAAUACUUAAUCUCAAUGACAUUUGAUUGUUUGAAUUCAGAUUUAGCUUACUGAAAAGAAAUACUUAAAAUGUAAUGGACAGAAUAAUAAUUGUAAAAUUAUUUCCAAAGUAGAUAAAUGAUUCACUGCUUCAAAGUGCGCAAAACACAACGUGCUGGGGACGCC